UCUUUACAGAGAUUAGCUCAGUUAGCAGAGCAUGAGACUCUUAAUCUCAGGGUUGUGGGUUUGAGCCCAAUGCUGGGUGAA